GAGGAGGAUGUAGAGAGGUGAGGAAAGAUGACGAUAAUGAACCAAGGAGGAAGGAGGAGUCGCGGCCGCCAUUCAGGUUCGGGAGAGACCGUCACCGUCACCACAGGUCUCCUCUCUCUGUCUCUCUCUCCCCUCCUGCAGCCACCAUGCUCGCCCUCAGGCCCGCAGCCUCCCGCCUCGCCCAAGCCGCCUCCACCAUGGUGAUGACCACCAGGACCACCGUCAUCGCGGGCCCGCCAGCAAACAAAGUUUCCGCGGCGGAAAAGGCGGUUCAUGCUGCCGUGAUCAUAUCUGGGUGUGUUGCCACCCCUGCAUACAUUCUUGUGCACAUUAAGGAUUACCGUGGUCGUGAGGCAUAGAGCAAUUGAUGUAAACCAUUGUUAUUCAGGUUAAAUCUGCACAUAUUUACUUAAACCAGCUCAUGUGUGAAAUUAUAUUCAAUCCUCAAAGGUUGUAUGCAGUCAUGGUAAAGUUCUUCUGAGAAUAAUUUUGUACAUAAUAAAUGAGAUAAAUAUU